UUGCCAUUUCAAUAAGCGGAGGAAAAGAAACUAACAAGGAUUCCCCUAGUAACGGCGAGUGAAGUGGGAAGAGCUCAACUUUGUAAUCUGGCUGUUUCACAGUCCGAGUUGUAGUCUAGAGAAGUGUUGCCCGUGCUGGCGCUUGUAGAUUUGUGUUGGAAUACACAGUCAUAGAGGGUGAGAAUCCCGUAUUUAACAAGCUGCUCAUGUACAUUGUGGUGCGCUUUCAAAGAGUCAGGUUGUUUGGGAAUGCAGCCUAAAGUGGGUGGUAAAUUCCAUCUAAAGCUAAAUAUUGGCGAGAGACCGAUAGCGAACAAGUACCGUGAGGGAAAGAUGAAAAGCACUUUGGAAAGAGAAUGAAAUAGUACCUGAAAUUGCUGAAAGGGAAACGAUUGAAGUUAGACUUGCGCGGUUUGGAUUCAGCCUUGACUUCGGUCUUGGUGUAUUUCCUUGCCAUUUGCAGGCCAACAUCAGUUUACUUUGCUGUAAAAGGGUGUUAGGAAUGUGGCUUCUCCGGGAGUGUUAUAGCCUUUCACUGGAUGCAGAAUCGUAGACUGAGGAACGCAGUGCGCCUUUAUGGCAAAGCUUUCGGGCUUCGAGCACUUAGGAUGUUGGUAGAAUAGCUUUAAACGACCCGUCUUGAAACACCGGACCCA
rnacentral:rRNA from 1 species